rnacentral:rRNA from 1 species
GCUAAUCCUAUUAAAGAGUCCAUAUCAAUAGUAGGGAUUGGCACCUCGAUGUUGGCUUAGGGCAUUCUUUAUGGCGCAAAAGUCAUAAACAGAUAGUUUGUUCAACUAAUAAAUCCCUACAUGAGCUGAGUUCAGACCGGCGUAAGCCAGGUUAGCUUCUAUCCUCGACAAUAAAAUCUGUUUGUAGUACGAAAGGACCUAAACAAGAAUAAUUAUUAUAAAAAAAAGAAUAAAUUUAAUAGAAAAUAAAAUAAAAUAUAAGAACACUACU